UGGGGAAUUUUGGACAAUGGGCGAAAGCCUGAUCCAGCAAUGCCGCGUGUGUGAAGAAGGCCUUCGGGUUGUAAAGCACUUUUGUCCGGAAAGAAAAUCCUUGGCUCUAAUACAGUCGGGGGGAUACGGUACCGGAAGAAUAAGCACCGGCUAACUACGUGCCAGCAGCCGCGGUAAUACGUAGGGUGCAAGCGUUAAUCGGAAUUACUGGGCGUAAAGCGUGCGCAGGCGGUUUGCUAAGACCGAAUGUGAAAUCCCCGGGCUCAACCUGGGAACUGCAUUGGUGACUGGCAGGCUAGAGUAUGGCAGAGGGGGGUAGAAUUCCACGUGUAGCAGUGAAAUGCGUAGAGAUGUGGAGGAAUACCGAUGGCGAAGGCAGCCCCCUGGGCCAAGUACUGACGCUCAUGCACG
rnacentral:rRNA from 1 species